rnacentral:rRNA from 1 species
UACGUAGGAGGCAAGCGUUGUCCGGAAUUACUGGGUGUAAAGCGCGUGUAGGCGGCAGGCCAAGUCUGUGGUGAAAUCGCUCGGCUCAACUGGGCGGGGUCCAUGGAAACUGGUCAGCUGGAGGACGGUAGAGGUGAGUGGAAUUCCCGGUGUAGCGGUGAAAUGCGCAGAUAUCGGGAGGAACACCGGUGGCGAAGGCGGUUCUCUGGGCCUGUACUGACGCUGAGGAGCGAAAGCGUGGGGAGCGAACAGG